UACGAAGGGGGCUAGCGUUGUUCGGAAUUACUGGGCGUAAAGCGUGCGCAGGCGGUUUGCUAAGACAGGUGUGAAAUCCCCGGGCUUAACCUGGGAACUGCGCUUGUAACUGGCAAGCUUGAGUGUGGCAGAGGGGGGUGGAAUUCCACGUGUAGCAGUGAAAUGCGUAGAGAUGUGGAGGAACACCGAUGGCGAAGGCAGCCCCCUGGGCUAACACUGACGCUCAUGCACGAAAGCGUGGGGAGCAAACAGG
rnacentral:rRNA from 1 species